GAUGAACGCUAGCUACAGGCUUAACACAUGCAAGUCGAGGGGUGACGAGAGGGAUGCUUGCUUUCCUUGUCGACGACCGGCGCACGGGUGAGUAACGCGUAUCCAACCUGCCCCCAACUAGGGAAUAACCUUGCGAAAGUAAGACUAAUACCCUAUAAUUUCCUCAGAUGUCAUCUGACGAGGAAUAAAGAUUUAUCGGUUGUGGAUGGGGAUGCGGCUGAUUAGCUUGUUGGCGGGGUAACGGCCCACCAAGGCAACGAUCAGUAGGGGUUUUGAGAGGAAGGUCCCCCACAUUGGAACUGAGACACGGUCCAAACUCCUACGGGAGGCAGCAGUGAGGAAUAUUGGUCAAUGGGCGGAAGCCUGAACCAGCCAAGUAGCGUGCAGGAUGACGGCCCUAUGGGUUGUAAACUGCUUUUAUACAGGAAUAAAGUUAGCCACGUGUGGUUAUUUGUAGGUACUGUAUGAAUAAGGACCGGCUAAUUCCGUGCCAGCCGCCGCCGUAA
rnacentral:rRNA from 1 species